rnacentral:rRNA from 1 species
UACGGAGGGUGCAAGCAUUAAUCGGAUUUAUUGGGCGUAAAGGGCGCGUAGGCGGAGAUAUUAGUCAGAUGUGAAAUCCUGGGGCUCAACCUCAGAACUGCAUUUGAAACUGUAUCUCUAGAGGGUAGGCGGAGAAAACGGAAUUCCACAAGUAGCGGUGAAAUGCGUAGAUAUGUGGAAGAACACCGGUGGCGAAGGCGGUUUUCUAGCUUAUUCCUGACGCUGAGGCGCGAAAGCAAGGGGAUCAAACAGG